rnacentral:rRNA from 1 species
UACGAAGGGGGCUAGCGUUGUUCGGAAUUACUGGGCGUAAAGCGCACGUAGGCGGAUAUUUAAGUCAGGGGUGAAAUCCCGCAGCUCAACUGCGGAACUGCCUUUGAUACUGGGUAUCUUGAGUAUGGAAGAGGUAAGUGGAAUUGCGAGUGUAGAGGUGAAAUUCGUAGAUAUUCGCAGGAACACCAGUGGCGAAGGCGGCUUACUGGUCCAUUACUGACGCUGAGGUGCGAAAGCGUGGGGAGCAAACAGG